rnacentral:misc_RNA from 1 species
GCUUAUCUCUCUGUCAAUUGGAAACAUAAAAAAAAAUUGUCUCUAUCUUAUCUGUGUGUAUUGUGGCAAUAAAUCUUUGACGUUUUGCACGUAAAUUAUUUUAGCCAGAAAUGUUGCGUGUCAUAACAUUCUAUGACACCACCAAAUCUUUAUAUUUCCGUAAUUUCAUAAGCAAAUUACCGUCCACGUGUUCUUUAGCCACAGCGUAGUAGCCACUUGUCCAAUCAACAAAAGUCAACAAAAAGUGGAAUUAUUUUGCAAACGAAGGCAGAAGAUUAAUUAAAAUGCAAAAU